AACGAACGCUGGCGGCGUGGAUAAGACAUGCAAGUCGGACGAGAUUUUUCGUUGUAGCAAUAUGAUGGGAAGUUUAGUGGCGAACGGGUGCUUAACACGUGGGCAACCUGCCAGGAAGUGGGGGAUAGCUCGCCGAAAGGCGAAUUAAUACCGCAUGUGAUUAGAGAGGACAUCCUUUCGAAAUUAAAGUCGGGGCAACCUGACGCUUCUUGUGGGGCCCGCGGCCUAUCAGCUAGUUGGUGGGGUAACGGCUCACCAAGGCUUUGACGGGUAGCUGGUCUGAGAGGACGACCAGCCACACUGGGACUGAGACACGGUCCAGACACCUACGGGUGGCAGCAGUCGAGAAUUUUUGACAAUGGGGGAAACCCUGAUCGAGCGACGCCGCGUGGAGGAUGAAGGUCUUCGGAUUGUAAACUCCUGUCAUUGGGGAACAAUGCGUGACGGUUAACUGCCGUCGCGUUGAUAGUACCCGAAGAGGAAGAGACGGCUAACUCUGUGCCAGCAGCCGCGGUAACAC
rnacentral:rRNA from 1 species